ACUCCUACGGGAGGCAGCAGUGGGGAAUAUUGCACAAUGGGCGCAAGCCUGAUGCAGCCAUGCCGCGUGUGUAAGAGGCCUCGGGUUGUAAGNACUUUCAGUCGUGAGGAAGGUAGUGUAGUUAAUAGCUGCAUUAUUUGACGUUAGCGACAGAAGAAGCACCGGCUAACUCCGUGCCAGCAGCCGCGGUAAUACGGAGGGUGCGAGCGUUAAUCGGAAUUACUGGGCGUAAAGCGCAUGCAGGUGGUUUGUUAAGUCAGAUGUGAAAGCCCGGGGCUC
rnacentral:rRNA from 1 species